UACACACUGUGAUUUGGGGGCAU
rnacentral:piRNA from 1 species